UGACUCUAGAUAACCCCGGGCAGAUCGCAUGUCUCCGUGACGGCGAAGAUGCAUUCGGAUGUCUGCCCUAUCAACUUUCGAUGGUACUUUCUGUGCCUACCAUGGUGACCAUGGGUAAUGGGGAAUCAGGGUUCGAUUCCGGAGAAGGAGCAUGAGAAACAGCUACCACAUCCAAGGAAGGCA